CUGAGUUUGAUCCUGGCUCAGAUUGAACGCUGGCGGCAGGCCUAACACAUGCAAGUCGAGCGGUAGAGAGAAGCUUGCUUCUCUUGAGAGCGGCGGACGGGUGAGUAAUGCCUAGGAAUCUGCCUAGUGGUGGGGGAUAACGUUCGGAAACGGACGCUAAUACCGCAUACGUCCUACGGGAGAAAGCGGGGGAUCUUCGGACCUCGCGCCAUUAGAUGAGCCUAGGUCGGAUUAGCUAGUUGGUGAGGUAAUGGCUCACCAAGGCGACGAUCCGUAACUGGUCUGAGAGGAUGAUCAGUCACACUGGAACUGAGACACGGUCCAGACUCCUACGGGAGGCAGCAGUGGGGAAUAUUGGACAAUGGGCGAAAGCCUGAUCCAGCCAUGCCGCGUGUGUGAAGAAGGUCUUCGGAUUGUAAAGCACUUUAAGUUGGGAGGAAGGGCAGUAACCUAAUACGUUAUUGUUUUGACGUUACCGACAGAAUAAGCACCGGCAACUCGGC
rnacentral:rRNA from 1 species